rnacentral:tmRNA from 1 species
ACUAAGCUUGUAGGAUGUCUCCAGUCGAACUCUUCGGACGCGGGUUCGAUUCCCGCCAUCUCCACUU